CAGUAGCCGCGGUAAUACGUAGGGUGCGAGCGUUAAUCGGAAUUACUGGGCGUAAAGCGUGCGUAGGCGGUGAGUUAAGUCUGCUGUGAAAUCCCCGGGCUCAACCUGGGAAUGGCAGUGGAUACUGGCUCGCUAGAGUGUGUUAGAGGAUGGUGGAAUUCCCGGUGUAGCGGUGAAAUGCGUAGAGAUCGGGAGGAACAUCAGUGGCGAAGGCGGCCAUCUGGGACAACACUGACGCUGAGGCACGAAAGCGUGGGGAGCAAACAGGAUUAGAUACCCCAGUAGUCCCUGUCUCUUAUCC
rnacentral:rRNA from 1 species